rnacentral:rRNA from 1 species
UACGGAGGGGGCUAGCGUUGUUCGGAAUUACUGGGCGUAAAGCGCACGUAGGCGGCUUUGUAAGUUAGAGGUGAAAGCCCCGGGCUUAACCCUGGAAUUGCCUUUAAGACUGCAUCGCUAGAAUCGUGGAGAGGUGAGUGGAAUUCCGAGUGUAGAGGUGAAAUUCGUAGAUAUUCGGAAGAACACCAGUGGCGAAGGCGACUCACUGGACACGUAUUGACGCUGAGGUGCGAAAGCGUGGGGAGCAAACAGG